rnacentral:tRNA from 1 species
AUUUAUAUAGUUUAACAAAAACAUUACAUUUUCACUGUAAAAAUAAAAAUUUAUUUUUUAUAAAUA